UACGUAGGGUGCAAGCGUUGUCCGGAAUUACUGGGCGUAAAGGGUUUGUAGGUGGCUUGUUAAGUCAGACGUGAAAUCCCUCAGCUUAACUGGGGAACUGCGUCUGAUACUGGCGAGCUUGAGUGCAGGAGAGGAACGCGGAAUUCCAGGUGUAGCGGUGAAAUGCGUAGAUAUCUGGAGGAACACCGGUGGCGAAGGCGGCGUUCUGGACUGCAACUGACACUGAGGAGCGAAAGCGUGGGGAGCGAACAGG
rnacentral:rRNA from 1 species